GAUGAACGCUGGCGGCGUGCCUAAUACAUGCCAGUCGAGCGAACGGACGAGAAGCUUGCUUCUCUGAUGUUGGCGGCGGACGGGUGAGUAACACGUGGAUAACCUACCUAUAAGACUGGGAUAACUUCGGGAAACCGUAGCUAAUACCGGAUAAUAUUUUGAACCGCAUGGUUCAAAAGUGAAAGACGGUCUUGCUGUCACUUAUAGAUGGAUCCGCGCUGCAUUAGCUAGUUGGUAAGGUAACGGCUUACCAAGGCAACGAUGCAUAGCCGACCUGAGAGGGUGAUCGGCCACACUGGAACUGAGACACGGUCCAGACUCCUACGGGAGGCAGCAGUAGGGAAUCUUCCGCAAUGGGCGAAAGCCUGACGGAGCAACGCCGCGUGAGUGAUGAAGGUCUUCGGAUCGUAAAACUCUGUUAUUAGGGAAGAACAUAUGUGUAAGUAACUGUGCACAUCUUGACGGUACCUAAUCAGAAAGCCACGGCUAACUACGUG
rnacentral:rRNA from 1 species